rnacentral:lncRNA from 1 species
CUGAGUGGAACAAGGGGAUAAGGAGCAUCCAGGCAAAAGUAACAGUAUUUGUUAUUCAAGAGCUGAGGUAUAACGAAAAUUAUAAAGCAAAGCACGUUUGAGCAACUGUAAAGAUGAAAUCAUAAGCGUGUAAUUAUAACCACGUGACUGACUUGAAUAGGGUCGUGUGCAAAUCCCUUUGCUUGGUCGAUUGAUGAUAAUUUCUAACAGGCCCAAGUUCUUGCAGGGUGAGAUCCGCGCGCACGCCCGCCUCUGGCCCUGUCCCGGGGGUUCCGCGGGCUCCUGGGAUUCUCCGGUAUAGAAGCGUUAGCGCUGGAUCCGGCUUGAGCUGGCCUCAAGUGAUUUUCAAAAAACUGUUUCCAAUGCAACUACCAUCAGAACGUGGAUUAAGCACAGCGUUUGUUUGCAAGUCUGCAUCCGCCCUGCGGUAGGGAGGCUCUUUGUCUCCGAGGGCCUCGUCGGUACUCAGCGUUUG